rnacentral:rRNA from 1 species
ACGGCUCAGUAACACGUGGCUAAUCUGCCCUUAGGACGAGAACAACCCCGGGAAACUGGGGCUAAUUCUCGAUAGGCGAAGAACUCUGGAAUGAGUCUUUACCUAAAUAGUGCAACGUUAUCCUCGUUGCAUCGCCUAAGGAUGAGGCCGCGACCGAUCAGGUUGUUGGCGAGGUAAUGGCUCACCAAGCCUUUUACCGGUGCGGGCCGUGAGAGCGGGAGCCCGGAGAUGGGCACUGAGACAAGGGCCCAGGCCCUACGGGGCGCAGCAGUCGCGAAAACUUUGCAAUAAGCGAAAGCUUGACAGGGCUAUCCCGAGUGCCAUCCGCUGAGGAAGGCUUUUACCCAGUCUAGAACGCUGGGGGAAUAAGGAGAGGGCAAGUCUGGUGUCAGCCGCCGCGGUAAUACCAGCUCUCCGAGUGGUGUGGAUGUUUAUUGGGCCUAAAGCAUCCGUAGCUGGCUAGGUCAGUCCCUUGUUAAAUCCACCGAAUUAAUCGUUGGAUUGCGGGGGAUACUGCUUGGCUAGGGGACGAGAGAGGCAGACGGUAUUUUCGGGGUAGGGGUGAAAUCCUAUAAUCCCGGGAAGACCACCAGUGGCGAAGGCUGUCUGCUAGAACGCGCCCGACGGUGAGGGAUGAAAGCUGGGGGAGCGAACCGGAUUAGAUACCCGGGUAGUCCCAGCUGUAAACGAUGCAGACUAGGUGUUUGGACGGCCACGUGCCGUUCUAGUGCCGCAGGGAAGCUGUUAAGUCUGCCGCCUGGGGAGUACGAUCGCAAGAUUGAAACUUAAAGGAAUUGGCGGGGGAG